AAGUCGUAACAAGGUUUCCGUAGGUGAACCUGCGGAAGGAUCAUUAAACUUAUAUCACGGGGGGCCGGCCGACAAAGUAACCUUUGCACCCGCCCCUGUCUGACAUAUACCCAUGUCCUUUGCGUACAACUUGUUUUCCUGGGGGGGCUUGCCCCCCAUUAGGAUCAUCAACCAACCCUUUUGUAAUUGCAGUCAGCGUCAGAAAAUCAUAUAAUUAUUACAA
rnacentral:misc_RNA from 1 species